AGCGAACGUUGGCGGCCUGGAUUACGCAUGCAAGUUGUGCGUACCCAACACUGGGGAGCAGCGUAAGGGGCAGUAAGGUAUGGGUAUCUACCCGGGGAUCGGGCAUAGCCUGUAUAGAUACAGGGUAAUUCCCGAUGAUGUCGCAAGACCAAAGCUCCGGCGUCCCUGGAGGAGCCCAUAUGAUAUUACGGUAUAUGGUGGGGUAACGGCCCACCAUGCCUAAGAUGUCUAGCGGGUGUGAGAGCACGACCCGCGCCACUGGCACUGAGACACUGGCCAGACACCUACGGGUGGCUGCACUCAAGGAUCUUCGGCAAUGGGCGCAAGCCUGACCGAGCGAGGCCGCGUGGGCGAUGAAAGCCUUCGGGUUGUAAAGCCCUGUCGAGGGGGAGAAAAGCCGAAAGGUGUGAUCUAUCCCUGGAGGAAGCACGGGCUAAGUUCGUGCCAGCAGCCGCGGUAAGACGAACCGUGCGAACGUUGUUCGGAAUCACUGGGCUUAAAGGGCGCGUAGGCGGGCUAUCAAGUCCGGGGUGAAAUCCUCCAGCUCAACUGGAGAACGGCCUCGGAUACUGAUGGUCUCGAGGAGGAUAGGGGCACACGGAACUGUGGGUGGAGCGGUGAAAUGCGUUGAUAUCCAUAGGAACUCCGGUGGCGAAAGCGGUGCGCUGGAUCCUUUCUGACGCUGAGGCGCGAAAGCCAGGGGAGCAAACGGGAUUAGAUACCCCGGUAGUCCUGGCCCUAAACGUUGGGUACUAGGUAGUAGACUAGACAUAGGUUUACUUCCGAAGCAAAAGUGCUAAGUACCCCGCCUGGGGAGUAUGGUCGCAAGGCUGAAACUCAAAGGAAUUGACGGGGGCUCACACAAGCGGUGGAGCAUGUGGCUUAAUUCGAGGCAACGCGAAGAACCUUACCUGGGUUUGACAUGUGCGAAAGCGGUGAGAAGUAGAACCCGGAAACGGGAACGAACGGUAUCCAAUCCGGAACUCAUCACAGGUGCUGCAUGGCUGUCGUCAGCUCGUGUCGUGAGAUGUCGGGUUAAGUCCCAUAACGAGCGAAACCCUUACCCUCAGUUGCUAAUUAUAGGACUCUGGGGGGACUGCCGGUGUCAAACCGGAGGAAGGUGGGGAUGACGUCAAGUCCUCAUGGCCUUUAUGCCCAGGGCUGCACACGUGCUACAAUGGCGUGAACAAAGGGAUGCCAACGCGCGAGCGGGAGCGAACCCCAAAAAACACGCCCCAGUUCAGAUCGGAGGUUGCAACUCACCUCCGUGAAAUCGGAAUCGCUAGUAAUCCCGGGUCACCACACCGCGGUGAAUGUGUUCCUGAGCCU
rnacentral:rRNA from 1 species